AUGCGCACCAUCCGCUCCGCGCUGCUGCACCCGGACUCGCCCCCGGGGCCCAGCUCCCGCCCGCGCGCCGCGGCCGCGGCCGACGAGGGGGACUCGGACAUCGAGAACCUCACCGACUCCGUCAUCGACUUCCGCCUCAGCGAGCUGGCGGCCACCGCGGGGCCCGCGCACCCGGCGGCCGUCGCCAAGUCCUCCUCCGCCAACGCGGCCGCCACGGAGAUGCUCGAGCUGUCCCGGGACUUCUCCGACUACUCCAGCUUCAACUCCGACAUCUCCGGGGAGCUCGAGCGCCUGGCCGCGGCCGCCGCCACGCUCAGAUCCGACGCGCCGGACCUCGCCGCCGUGGAUCUGAACGACCUCGAGUCCAUGGAUCUGUCGGCGGACGCGGCGCCGCUGGACCGCGUGGAGCCCUUCGUUCUGGCGUGCGUGCAGGCGCUGGGGCCCGACGCCGCGCCCGACGCGCGCCGCGCGGCCGCGGCCAGGAUAAGGCUGCUGGCCAAGCACCGCUCCGACAUCCGCGAGCUGGUCGGCGUGUCCGGGGCGAUCCCGGCGCUGGUGCCGCUGCUGCGGAGCACCGACCCGGUGGCGCAGGAGAACGCCGUGACGGCGCUGCUCAACCUGUCCCUGGAGGAGCGGAACCGCUCGGCCAUCACGGCGGCGGGCGCCAUCAAGCCGCUCGUCUACGCGCUGCGGACCGGGACGGCCUCCGCCAAGCAGAAUGCGGCGUGCGCGCUGCUCAGCCUGUCGGGCAUCGAGGAGAACCGCGCCACCAUCGGCGCGUGCGGCGCCAUCGCGCCGCUCGUCGCGCUGCUCUCCGCGGGCUCCACCCGGGGAAAGAAGGACGCGCUCACCACGCUCUACCGUCUCUGCUCGGCGCGCCGGAACAAGGAGCGUGCCGUCAGCGCCGGAGCCGUCGUGCCGCUCGUGCACCUCAUCGGCGAGCGCGGCACCGGGACGUCGGAGAAGGCAAUGGUGGUCCUUGCCAGCCUCGCCAGCAUAGCCGAGGGCCGCGACGCUGUGGUGGAAGCCGGUGGGAUACCCGCACUGGUCGAGACCAUCGAGGACGGCCCUGCGAGGGAGAAGGAGUUCGCCGUGGUCGCUCUGCUUCAGCUGUGCUCCGAGUGCUCCAGCAAUUGUGCGCUUCUCGUCCGAGAAGGGGCGAUCCCACCGCUCGUUGCGCUCUCGCAGUCCGGCUCUGCUCGUGCAAAGCACAAGUCUGAGACCUUGCUAGGUUACUUGCGCGAGCAGCGACAAGGGGGCGGUGGCUGCCGAGCCGGACCAGGCGGCGCAGCUACGAGCAUGGCUCGGUGA
rnacentral:rRNA from 1 species